rnacentral:rRNA from 1 species
GCGGCAUGCCUUACACAUGCAGUCGAACGUUAACAGGUUAAGCUGACGAGUGGCGAACGGGUGAGUAAUAUAUCGGAACGUGCCCAGUCGUGGGGGAUAACGCAGCGAAAGCUGUGCUAAUACCGCAUACGAUCUAUGGAUGAAAGCGGGGGAUCGCAAGACCUCGCGCGAUUGGAGCGGCCGAUAUCAGAUUAGCUAGUUGGUGGGGUAAAAGCCCACCAAGGCGACGAUCUGUAGCUGGUCUGAGAGGACGACCAGCCACACUGGAACUGAGACACGGUCCAGACUCCUACGGGAGGCAGCAGUGGGGAAUUUUGGACAAUGGGCGCAAGCCUGAUCCAGCAAUGCCGCGUGCAGGACGAAGGCCUUCGGGUUGUAAACUGCUUUUGUAUGGAGCGAAACGGUCUCUUCUAAUAAAGGGGGCUAAUGACGGUACCGUAAGAAUAAGCACCGGCUAACUACGUGCCAGCAGCCGCGGUAAUACGUAGGGUGCGAGCGUUAAUCGGAAUUACUGGGCGUAAAGCGUGCGCAGGCGGUUAUAUAAGACAGAUGUGAAAUCCCCGGGCUCAACCUGGGACCUGCAUUUGUGACUGUAUAGCUAGAGUACGGUAGAGGGGGAUGGAAUUCCGCGUGUAGCAGUGAAAUGCGUAGAUAUGCGGAGGAACACCGAUGGCGAAGGCAAUCCCCUGGACCUGUACUGACGCUCAUGCACGAAAGCGUGGGGAGCAAACAGGAUUAGAUACCCUGGUAGUCCACGCCCUAAACGAUGUCAACUGGUUGUUGGGUCUUCUCUGACUCAGUAACGAAGCUAACGCGUGAAGUUGACCGCCUGGGGAGUACGGCCGCAAGGUUG